rnacentral:rRNA from 1 species
CUAAUAACCGAAUAAUAACAUCAAUAUCGCAUGAGAAGAUGUAGAAAGUCGCUCUUUGUGGCGACGCUUUUGGAUGAGGGUGCGACGUAUCAGAUAGUUGGUGAGGUAAUGGCUCACCAAGUCAAUGACGCGUAGCUGUACUGAGAGGUAGAACAGCCACAAUGGGACUGAGACACGGCCCAUACUCCUACGGGAGGCAGCAGCC